rnacentral:rRNA from 1 species
CCUACGUGAGGCAGCAGUGGGGAAUAUUGCACAAUGGGGGAAACCCUGAUGCAGCGACGCCGCGUGAGUGAAGAAGUAUCUCGGUACGUAAAGCUCUAUCAGCAGGGAAGAAAAUGACGGUACCUGACUAAGAAGCCCCGGCUAACUACGUGCCAGCCGCCGCGGCAAUACGUAGGGGGCAAGCGUUAUCCGGAUUUACUGGUUGUAAAGGGAGCGUAGACGGGAGGACAAGUCAGGAGUGAAAUCCCGGGGAUUCACCCCGGAACUGCUUUAGAAACUGUGCGGCUGGAGUGCAGGAGGGGUAAGCGGAAUUCCUAGUGUAGCGGUGAAAUGCGGAGAUAUUAGGAGGAACACCGGUGGCGAAGGCGGCUUACUGGACUGUAACUGACGUUGAGGCUCGAAAGCGUGGGGAGCAAACAGGAUUAGAUACCCCUGUAGUC